rnacentral:tRNA from 1 species
CGAGAGGUUUAGAAGACCUGCUAACUNUUCAAUNUGGAAAA